rnacentral:tRNA from 1 species
AAGGCUUUAAGUUAAAAAAAACUAAUAGCCUUCAAAGCUGCAAAUAAAAAAUGAAUUUUAAGCCUUA